UACGGAGGGUGCAAGCGUUAUCCGGAUUUAUUGGGUUUAAAGGGUCCGUAGGCGGAUCUGUAAGUCAGUGGUGAAAUCUCACAGCUUAACUGUGUAACUGCCAUUGAUACUGCAGGUCUUGAGUGUUAUUGAAGUAGCUGGAAUAAGUAGUGUAGCGGUGAAAUGCAUAGAUAUUACUUAGAACACCAAUUGCGAAGGCAGGUUACUAAGCAACAACUGACGCUGAUGGACGAAAGCGUGGGGAGCGAACAGG
rnacentral:rRNA from 1 species